AUUGAACGCUGGCGACAGGCCUAACACAUGCAAGUCGAGCGGAUGAGUGGAGCUUGCCCCAUGAUUCGGCGGCGGACGGGUGAGUAAUGCCUAGGAAUCUGCCUGGUAGUGGGGGACAACGUUUCGAAAGGAACGCUAAUACCGCAUACGUCCUACGGGAGACAGUGGGGGAUCUUCGGACCUCACGCUAUCAGAUGAGCCUAGGUCGGAUUAGCUAGUUGGUGAGGUAAAGGCUCACCAAGGCGACGAUCCGUAACUGGUCUGAGAGGAUGAUCAGUCACACUGGAACUGAGACACGGUCCAGACUCCUACGGGAGGCAGCAGUGGGGAAUAUUGGACAAUGGGCGAAAGCCUGAUCCAGCCAUGCCGCGUGUGUGAAGAAGGUCUUCGGAUUGUAAAGCACUUUAAGUUGGGAGGAAGGGCAGUAAGUUAAUACCUUGCUGUUUUGACGUUACCAACAGAAUAAGCACCGGCUAACUUCGUGCCAGCCGCCGCGGUAACAC
rnacentral:rRNA from 1 species